rnacentral:rRNA from 1 species
GACGAACGCUGGCGGCGUGCUUAACACAUGCAAGUCGAACGGAAAGGCCCUGCUUUUGUGGGGUGCUCGAUUGCCGAACGGGUGAGUAACACGUGAGUAACCUGCCCUUGACUUUGGGAUAACUUCAGGAAACUGGGGCUAAUACCGGAUAGGAGCUCCUGCUGCAUGGUGGUGGUUGGAAAGUUUCGGCGGUUGGGGAUGGAUUCGCGGCUUAUCAGCUUGUUGGUGGGGUAGUGGCUUACCAAGGCUUUGACGGGUAGCCGGCCUUAGAGGGGGACCGGCCACAUUGGGACUGAGAGACGGCCCAGAAUCCUACGGGAGGCAGCAGGGGGGAAUAUGGCACAAUGGGCGGAAGCGUGAUGCAGAAACGCCGCGUGCGGGAUGACGGCCUUCGGGGUGUAAACCGAUUUCGCCGGUGACGAAGCGGGAGUGACGGUAAUGGGUAAAGAAGCACCGGCUAACUACGUG